rnacentral:rRNA from 1 species
GGGUCAGUAGGUUGGUCGUGCCACCGGUACGUACUGGUCUCACUGAUUCCUCCUUCCUGAAGAACCGUAAUGCCAUUAAUUUGGUGUUGCGGGGAAACAGGACUGUUACUUUGAAAAAAUUAGAGUGUUUAAAGCAAGCUGACGCUUGAAUACAUUAGCAUGGAAUAAUGAAAUAGGGCGAUCGAUCCUAUUUUGUUGGUUUCUAGGAUUGACGUA